GGAUUGUGGCUCAGUGGUAGAGUGCUUGCCUAGCAUGCACAGGGCACUGUGUUUGAUCCUCAGCACCA
rnacentral:tRNA from 1 species